AGAAUACAGCUCUGACUCACACAAUAAUUAACUCACUCUGAAUAAUAUCAGAGUUCUGAACUUGGUUUUGAACACGAAUAUAGCUUUUAUUUGUACAGUGGGGGUAGUUGUUCCCCGCCCCCCUUCACUAUUUCCUUUACCCUUCAGGUUAAUUAUUCCCUCAAGGAACACAAAAUUAUUUUCUCUUGUUUUCUGGGAAAGUGCUUGUGCUCACUCUUCCCUCAGGAUCUGUUGAAUAAGUUAGUACCCGAUGAAAGAUAGUAGCAGGUGACUACAUGGGCACUGAUAAAUAAUUGAGUAUUUUAGUUAGAGCUCUUCUCAGAGACUCAUGAUCUUCUUUCUAGAGAUCAGCUGAAGUGCAGCCCUCUCAUUUUACAUAGGAGGAAUUGGGCAUGGAAAGAUGAAGCAAUUUUCCCAAAUCCACAGAGCUACUUCGUGGCAGAUCUAGGCCUGCAACUUUGGGGUCAGGUGUCUCCGAGGCUGUGCUGUCUCGUUCGAAUGCAGCGAAUCAGCCACAGCGCCCAUAAUUGAGAGCUUCUUCCGGCCGGGAGGGUACCUUCUCCACCUCUCACGACAAAUCUUUAAAGGAGGCCUUAUCACUCCCAUUUCCCAGGUGAGAAAACCAAAGCUCAGAGAGGUUAGCUAAUUCGCCUAAGACCACGCUGUCAGUGCUAGUAGAACUGCCUAAUCUUGUGGGAUGGCCGAGUGGGGAUUAUCAGCGUCUAGGGCCGAUCCGACUCCUCAGGGGGGACAGGUGAUGGGAUGCCUGCUGUCACAAGGAAUGCCCAAAGGUCCACACCACAAAAUAUUGACCCAACUCCUCGGCUAUGGUGCCUAAAGGUUGAACUUGGAGUCAUGGCUAGGAAAGAGCAGAGUCUUGAGGGAAUGGAAUGCUGAAGAGUUGUAUUUUCUUGGGAAGGGGAACUGUGUGGAGCAAAGGAGAGCUUUUCAGGCUGAGUAGGAUGAUACUUCUUAAGUGGAGACAGCGUAAAGGGAAGGGUUCUCUGGAGAAGGAACUGAUACUUCCCAAUUCUGAAUGGUAUCUAGAAUGAGGCUGGAUCUUUUUUAAAAUUUUUUUUUUUCAACGUUUAUUUAUUUUUGGGACAGAGAGAGACAGAGCAUGAACGGGGGAGGGGCAGAGAGAGAGGGAGACACAGAAUCCGAAACACGCUCCAGGCUCUGAGCCAUCAGCCCAGAGCCCGACGCGGGGCUCGAACUCACGGACCGCGAGAUCGUGACCUGGCUGAAGUCGGACGCUUAACCGACUGCGCCACCCAGGCGCCCCUGAGGCUGGAUCUUUGAGCCCCUGAUUGGCCUGAGGCGUUUAUGGAAAUCGAUAGCAUGCAUUUAUAGAACCUGAUCAGUAUGCUGCGACUGUACUAUUUUUGAAGGGGGUCCAUCAUUACAUAGAACUGAAUUAUAAUCCUGGGCUCAAGAUAUCAGGUCCAUGCGUGGCUCUCUCUUUAAAUAAAUACAUAGGUAAAAUGAACACCCGUGAACCCAACAUCCAAACCACAAACUGGAGCAGUCAAUGAAGCUGUCUGACGAUACCGAGUUUUGAAGAGGAAGAUAUGGAUUAGCCAAACCUCUUAUUCAUCCCUAGGAAUAUAAAUGACUGUAAUCAGUUUCCAUUAUUUUAUAGUGUUAAACAUUCUCACGGAAUCUAUAAACCUGGCCAAAAAUAACAGCAGCACUGUUUAUUUGUAAAUGAUAGGGCUAAGUAGCAAGUUUUUCUUCCUGCCGCAUCUGAAAGUUUAGACGAAUACACGAAUCUUCCUUUUUUGAAUAGGAAAGCCUAGCUCUUCAAAAGCACCCAUUCCGCACCUUUUUCCAAGUUACGGUUAGCUUGAACAGGAAGGCAAUACUGUAUUGCUUGUCACUAGUCAUAUGUUUGUCAAAUGGGAUCUAGGACUAGGAAGGUGCAGUCUUAUUUUUUACUGAGGCUUGUCUGUGCAAAGCGAUUGCAGUUUUAGAGAACUCAUCUGCUUGCAUUUGUUUGGCAUCGCUCCCUCUGCUUGUAUAGGUCUUCAAGUCAUGGCAGAGACAAAAGCCUUGGCAACUGGGUAACUCCCUGAACGAUAAUCCAGUGUUGGAUCUCCUGACUCUACCAUAUAUCAGUGGAUGGCCACGGGCAAGUUGCUGAACUUCUCUGAGCCUCAGGUUUCUCAUCUGUGAGUAGGCAAACUCGUGUGUGCCUUGUGGGGCUGCUAUGUCGAUUAAAAGAGGGAACUGCCCCUAACCAGCUAGGCCACAAAGAAGCCCAGCAGCAAGUGUUAGUUAUGUUUUCUAUAGAAACAGGAGUAUAAGGGGUACCUGGCAAUAUAUCUCGCACAGCACGUAUCUAAUAGAAAUCUAAUGUGAUUGGGGCGCCCGGGGGGCUCAGUUGGUUAAUUGUCUGACUCUUGAUCUUGGCUCAGGUCAUGAUCUCACAGUUCAUGGCCCCCCCUCCUCGGCGGUGGGCUCUGUGCUGAGAGCGCUCAGAACCUGCUUGGGAUUCUCUGGCUCCCUCUCUGCCCCUUCCCUACUCAUGCAGACGCAUGCGUUCUCUCUCUCUCUCUCUCUCAAAAUAAAUAAACAUUAAAAAAAUAUAAUGUGAUCCCCAAAUGUGAGGCACAGAUGUAAUUUAACAUUUUCUGAAAGCUACACUUAAAAAUGAACCAAAAAACCCAAAUGAAAUUAAUUUUAAUAUUAUAUAUGAUUUAAUCAAUGUAACUGAUAUAUCUAACAUGUUAUCAUUUCAACAUGUAAUCAAUAUAGAAAAUUCUAAAUGAGAGUUUGUUUUCUUUUUUUCUUUUCUCUCUCUCUCUCCUUUUUGCAUACUGAGUUUCUGAAAUCCAGUGUGAAUUUGCCAUUUACAAUACCUCUCAGCUCGGAUCAGCACAUUUCAAGGGCUCAAGAGCCCCACUUGGCUACUGUUGCUGUUGUAUCGGGCAGUGCAGCCUUAGCGCUUCUAAUGAGAUUGGAUCUCUUUAGAUUUCAAAAUCUGGACUUUCAAUUCUAUUCUAGUGCACGUUCCAAACGAUGGGAGGCGAUUGACCGUAUUCCUGUUCCUUUAAUAUCACUAAUUUGUAGUUGCCUCAUAGAUGGCACACGGGUCAGAUUAUCCUAGAGCUGACGUCCCCAAUCUUUUUGUAACAAGUGGCUGUUUUUCUUUUCCUCCAGGCUUUCGGAAUAAGUGCAGGGAGAAGAAGGUGAAAAGAGUUGGAACUGACAAUAAAACUCCAGCGCCCUGGAGAGGGGGCCUUCCUGGAAGCUACAUAAGUCUCCCUGAUGGAAGGAAAUCUUAGCGACUUUGGAAACGACUCAAGUUUGCUGUCAUGUUCACAUGUGGUGGUCGUGACGGUCAGGGCCAGGGGGAGGCUGCACCUUAGUGAACAGCUUGGGUGAAUGAGGGCUGUACUAAACUCACCGAUGUGAGAAAUGCCAAGUUUUCCAGAUAAUAGGUGGCACCUUAGGUGUCAGAGUCCACUGCAAAUAAUAGUUCGUGCUCAGUUAGUUAUGGGUACUAAGUAAAUAUUAAUAGAAACUGAUAAGAUCAUGCUUUGGAGAAAAACAGAAGAGCAGUAAGUAGAUUGUGACAAGUUGCUGUGUAAUUACCUUUCAUCUUUUGAGGUAAAGGAGAACUGAAUAAAGCCACUGAUGUUACCUAUUCUGGGCUCACAUUUUUGGAUCACGUUCCCACCCAGAGACUCCAAGGAAUUCCUAAAUGUCAAUCCAACCAUGGUAUCACUCAAAACACUCCUUAGUGGUUAUCA
rnacentral:lncRNA from 1 species